rnacentral:rRNA from 1 species
ACGCUCGACACCUACUGGAGGCAGCAGUCGGGAAUAUUGCGCAAUGGAGGGAACUCUGACGCAGUGACGCCGCGUAUAGGAAGAAGGUUUUCGGAUUGUAAACUAUUGUCGUUAGGGAAGAGAAAGGACAGUACCUAAGGAGGAAGCUCCGGCUAACUACGUGCCAGCNCGCGNGUAUCUGNGGCGGCGUGACGAGC